rnacentral:rRNA from 1 species
CCUACCAUGCAGUCGACGGUAACAGGAAGCAAGCUUGCUGCUUCGCUGACGAGUGGCGGACGGGUGAGUAAUGUCUGGGAAACUGCCUGAUGGAGGGGGAUAACUACUGGAAACGGUAGCUAAUACCGCAUAACGUCGCAAGACCAAAGAGGGGGACCUUCGGGCCUCUUGCCAUCGGAUGUGCCCAGAUGGGAUUAGCUAGUAGGUGGGGUAACGGCUCACCUAGGCGACGAUCCCUAGCUGGUCUGAGAGGAUGACCAGCCACACUGGAACUGAGACACGGUCCAGACUCCUACGGGAGGCAGCAGUGGGGAAUAUUGCACAAUGGGCGCAAGCCUGAUGCAGCCAUGCCGCGUGUAUGAAGAAGGCCUUCGGGUUGUAAAGUACUUUCAGCGGGGAGGAAGGGAGUAAAGUUAAUACCUUUGCUCAUUGACGUUACCCGCAGAAGAAGCACCGGCUAACUCCGUGCCAGCAGCCGCGGUAAUACGGAGGGUGCAAGCGUUAAUCGGAAUUACUGGGCGUAAAGCGCACGCAGGCGGUUUGUUAAGUCAGAUGUGAAAUCCCCGGGCUCAACCUGGGAACUGCAUCUGAUACUGGCAAGCUUGAGUCUCGUAGAGGGGGGUAGAAUUCCAGGUGUAGCGGUGAAAUGCGUAGAA